GCAUCUGCUACUUCCGGAAUCAACUGAGGAAUGCACAUAAAAUGGCCCCUAUCUCUAUGAAACCCUCAGUUUCCCCCAAAAUCCCUACCAUGGCCCUAGCUUCCAGUGUUCGCCUUUCUUCCUCCAUCCUCCGCUACCGCCUCGCUGCCCCACUCUACCCGACCCGAUUUUCCAGUCUCCGUACCUGUCGGAGCUCCGCUUCCUGUCCGCAUCGUCCUCCCGUCCCGGGACCCACAUCCGCCCAAUCAAAGCGAGGCUCCAGGACGACCCCCAAAAGGAGGACCCAGGCGAGGGGCAGAACGGGAAUGGAAGUGUGCUGGUCAAGGACACAAGUGAGAACAGCGAAGAAAGAAUCGUUCGUGUUGAGCUCCACAAGUAGGCCACUGAAGCGUACAUGGCUAUGUCUGUCCUGCUCGGCCGCGCCCUGCUGGAUGUUCGCGACGGUUUGAAGCGGGUGCACCGUCGUAUUUACUAAGGUUGAAUGGUGAAUGAUGUGGGAGCACUACCUGGCUGGAUUUACUAGGUUGAUGAAAACAGCGACAGCGACUCUACGUAGAUUUUCUUUGCGAUUAGCCUUGAAGCCCUGACAGACAUAACCACGCUAAACCAGUCCAGAUUCUUCAAAGGGAUUUGAAAACGCUCUUGACAUUCGGUGAUGAGUUUUUUGAUGAAGUAUCAUCACUGUUUCUGCCGAUGGUCAUUUACAGGAUUUCUCCCUACGAUUCCCACUAAUUCAAGGGCAUGGGAAUUUCGGGUCGAUUGAUGCUGAUCCUGCAGCUGCCAUGCGUUACACAGAGUGCAUAUUGGAGUAUUCAUAAUGGGCAACCUAAGCAGAUGGGUCUAAAGGAGUUGCUGCAGCAGAUUCUAAACACGCGUCCAAAGGAUCAAGAGCUGUGGGGACAUCAGAUCAGAUUAUGGUAUUAAAGUAUUGGAAAAUGCCGAAGGUGAACUGGUGCGUUCACUUGAGAAUCGUGGAGUUUCAGCAAGUGAGGAUGGUAUUAAGGUACUUGAAAAAACAUUCACUUGAGAAUCAUGAAGUUUUUGCCUUUGGGCUGUCUUACUGAAGUGUUGGGAAGGUAAAAUUGUUGCAUCAGAUUUAUCAAGCGACUCAAAUUUACUAAGUGAUUAGAAAUGUUGUUAACUAAAAAAAUUAUGUUGCAAGAAUCUAUAAUUGACACAUUUAGUACUUCCAAUUCUGCCCAUGAAACAAACAACGAAGUGCUCAAAAUCGAGGUUUUAGUAGUAAAUGAGUAUGAUACCUUGCGUUAAGUAAGGGAAGUUCUUUCGAGAGCCAUGUUGGACUUGGGUUCGUUGGAAACAAGGCUAGCAUUUCAUUAUUCAUAUGAAGAUACCCCUUUCAUGGUAUCUUGUGAUGCACAUGAGCAUCCUAACAUGAUCGUUAUGGACCAUAGCUUUGUUGUUUAGUUAGGUUAGGUAAAAUCAAGA